CCUACGGGAGGCAGCCGUGGGGAAUAUUGCACAAUGGGGGAAACCCUGAUGCAGCAACGCCGCGUGAAGGAAGACGGUUUUCGGAUUGUAAACUUCUAUCCAUAGGGAAGCAAGAAAUGACGGUACCUAAAUAAGAAGCCCCGGCUAACUACGUGCCAGCAGCCGCGGUAAUACGUAGGGGGCAAGCGUUAUACGGAAUUACUGGGGGUAAAGGGAGAGUAGGCGGCAAGGUAAGCGAUAUGUGAAAGCCUUAAGCUUAACUUAAGGAUGGCAUAACGAACUAUCUAGCUAGAGUACAGGAGAGGAAAGCGGAAUUCCGAGUGUAGCGGUGAAAGGCGUAGAUAUUAGGAAGAACACCAGUGGCGAAGGCGGCUUUCUGGACUGAAACUGACGCUGAGGCUCGAAAGCGUGGGGAGCGAACAGGAUUAGAUACCCGAGUAGUC
rnacentral:rRNA from 1 species